rnacentral:rRNA from 1 species
AGUGAACGCUGGCGGUAGGCCUAACACAUGCAAGUCGAACGACAGCACAGUAAGAGCUUGCUCUUACGGGUGGCGAGUGGCGGACGGGUGAGGAAUACAUCGGAAUCUACUUUUUCGUGGGGGAUAACGUAGGGAAACUUACGCUAAUACCGCAUACGACCUACGGGUGAAAGCAGGGGAUCUUCGGACCUUGCGCGAUUGAAUGAGCCGAUGUCGGAUUAGCUAGUUGGCGGGGUAAAGGCCCACCAAGGCGACGAUCCGUAGCUGGUCUGAGAGGAUGAUCAGCCACACUGGAACUGAGACACGGUCCAGACUCCUACGGGAGGCAGCAGUGGGGAAUAUUGGACAAUGGGCGCAAGCCUGAUCCAGCCAUACCGCGUGGGUGAAGAAGGCCUUCGGGUUGUAAAGCCCUUUUGUCGGGAAAGAAAAGCAGCAGGUUAAUACCCCGCUGUUCUGACGGUACCCAAAGAAUAAGCACCGGCUAACUUCGUG